rnacentral:rRNA from 1 species
CCUACGGGAGUCAGCAGUAGGGAAUCUUCCACAAUGGACGAAAGUCUGAUGGAGCAACGCCGCGUGAGUGAAGAAGGGUUUCGGCUCGUAAAGCUCUGUUGGUAGUGAAGAAAGAUAGAGGUAGUAACUGGCCUUUAUUUGACGGUAAUUACUUAGAAAGUCACGGCUAACUACGUGCCAGCAGCCGCGGUAAUACGUAGGUGGCAAGCGUUGUCCGGAUUUAUUGGGCGUAAAGCGAGUGCAGGCGGUUCACUAAGUCUGAUGUGAAAGCCUUCGGCUCAACCGGAGAAUUGCAUCAGAAACUGUUGAACUGGAGUGCAGAAGAGGAGAGUGGAACUCCAUGUGUAGCGGUGGAAUGCGUAGAUAUAUGGAAGAACACCAGUGGCGAAGGCGGCUCUCUGGUCUGCAACUGACGCUGAGGCUCGAAAGCAUGGGUAGCGAACAGGAUUAGAUACCCCAGUAGUC